GAUGAACGCUGGCGGCGUGCCUAAUACAUGCAAGUCGAGCGAACGGACGAGAAGCUUGCUUCUCUGAUGUUAGCGGCGGACGGGUGAGUAACACGUGGAUAACCUACCUAUAAGACUGGGAUAACUUCGGGAAACCGGAGCUAAUACCGGAUAAUAUUUUGAACCGCAUGGUUCAAAGGUGAAAGACGGUCUUGCUGUCACUUAUAGAUGGAUCCGCGCUGCAUUAGCUAGUUGGUAAGGUAACGGCUUACCAAGGCAACGAGGCAUAGCCGACCUGAGAGGGUGAGCGGCCACACUGGAACUGAGACACGGUCCAGACUCCUACGGGAGGCAGCAGUAGGGAAUCUUCCGCAAUGGGCGAAAGCCUGACGGAGCAACGCCGCGUGAGUGAUGAAGGUCUUCGGAUCGUAAAACUCUGUUAUUAGGGAAGAACAGAUGUGUAAGUAACUGUGCACAUCUUGACGGUACCUAAUCAGAAAGCCACGGCUAACUACGUG
rnacentral:rRNA from 1 species